rnacentral:lncRNA from 1 species
GCUGGUCUCUGGAUUUGAGUGAGGACAAGAGUGAUUUCAACCAGGAGAAGAAUUUCUACCAUGUUCUGCCCCGGCCUGCUGUGGGCAUUCCUGACCUCUUUUGGCUUCAGAUCCAGCAUGGCUCAGAAAGUAACCCAAGAUGAGGCCACACUAACAAGGCAGGAAGGAGAAGAUGUGACAAUGAACUGCACCUAUGAAAUCUAUUGGAGAAGUCAUUAUAAUUUGUACUGGUACAAACAGCCUGCCAGUGAUCUUUAGACCAAGAGAAGCCACAUCAAGACCAGAGGAAGAUUAUAGGAGAUCAAUCAGAGUCCCUGCCUUUGAUCAGGAGUCGCUGAAAGUGGAUCUUAAGUUGUCUCCCUUGGAGAAGGUAUAUCUGUCCCCUGCAUGAGGAGAAGAGGAGAAAGGAAU